ACGAUUUUACAUCUUCACAACCCUACCGUGGACUUUUAGAACGUUGCCUCGGCGGGCUCGCCCGCCGACGGCCCCAACCAAAACUCUUAUUUUUGCACCGUACUCUGAGUGGCGCAGACAAAAUUUAGUCA
rnacentral:misc_RNA from 1 species